rnacentral:tRNA from 1 species
GGGGGUGGAGGGGUCCCGGUGGGUUCCGCGGUCUUCAAAACCGUUGGGGGGCCAGUCAAGCUGGUCCCCGGUGGGUUCGACUCCCACGCACUCCCG